UGUUUCUGGCCGCACCUUAGCCAAGGCCCAUUGAUUCAGAACCUCUGGGGUUGGGUCCUGGACAUCCUGUGUCUUCAUCUUAUGUCCUUGAAUGACUCUCACAUCGUGCCUAAUAUCACCAGCCUGUAUGCUGUUAAAUGAUGAGUGAGCUCUGCCAGGGCUGGCACACUGUAGGGACUUCGUGGAGCCUGAACACCUCCCCUUCUUCUGCAAUACUCAGGUGUCUGCUCUGUCUGCAUCUCUCUUCACCUGCUUUAUGGAAAGUGCAUGGGAUGUGACCUUGAGCAGCUGUCUCCAAAGCAGGACCACCGUGGGGCCCUGAAGCAGCCCCAGAUGUGCUAGAUGAGCCCCUGGAGAAAAGCCUUAUGGGACUGGCCUGGAAAAAACUGACAGCGACAGCUUUGUAAACAAAUGAUGCACAUGUCCUGGAUGGCCCACUGGAGGAGCAAUGAAGAAAUAAAUCCCGAAGGCCUGUAGGAUUUCCAUCUUGCCUUCCCUAGCAGACAAGUGGCAGCCGGCCUGGCUGGACCCCAGAAUCCAAACGAGUCUGAGAAGGCAGAACCCUCUGGGUCCCACAGCGGGAGCUAGAACGGUGAACAACUUUAGCAGAGAAACCCGAGCUAAAAUGGGUUAAAAGAUCUGCUUUUUUGCCUCUCCUUCAGCUUCCAGUUCUUCUUUCCCUCCCUCACCAUCUCACCCUCUUUUCCUGCCUCCCGAUGAAAAAUCUGCUCCGGCUUAAUAGAAUUACUCCCGGAGCCAUCAAUGCAAACGCUGUUUCAGGGCAAUCUCAUUCGAACAAAUGUAUUUUUAUUUGAACAGUGUUACUUGAAAAAUUAAAUCGCGUAUCUGUUCCCUUUUCCCUCCCCGCCCCCUCCAGCCACGGGGCCCUCACCACGGGGGUGGGGCAGGAAAGCCGGGCAGAGCUGAACAUUUAAAAAAUGAAUUUGAUCUGAUUUAAUGAUUCCUCUCUGCAUUAAUUAACAGUGAAACCAGCCAAUAUGUUGUGUCAAUCACAGGCGUAUCCACAGGCAUCCAUUUUAUUUUUGGAGUCAACUGAAUGUAUCGCUCUGCUGCUUAUUGUCUGAAAAGUUCAGCGCUGGGCUGGAGACUGGCUGGUGGGCAGCCGGACUGGGCAGGCCUCAGGAGUGAGAAGGGCCCCAGGGAGGGUGGAACCCAGGAGGCCGGAGUUUGAAUUCCGCCGAGAACACACAGCAACUGCUUGAUUUGGGGCAAGUCCUGCCACCUCUUUCUGCCUCACUUUCCCUCUCUGUAAACUGGGGAUCAUAAUUUAAGUCUUAAGAAGUCUGUGAACAUGAACUGACCGCCGCUGCUAGCAGGGAGCUUUCCAGAGGUAAGGAGAGUAAGAUGGUGUAAUUUCCGGCUUCUCGGAGGUCAGAGAUGGAUUUCUGCCCAGUCACCUCAACAGCCUUUGUACCUCAGUCAGGGCCCUUCUCCUGGGCGUGCAUUUGUACAUGGCCUGCCCUCUCAGGACCUCCCCUAAGCUCUAUUACAUUGUUGCCCCCACCUCAAAAUUCUUAAUCACUUUACCUUCAUGUUUUGUGGUGGUUAUGACAAGGAGGGUCUCCCUGGUGUCACAAGGGGUUAAACACAACCUAUGAAGCUACUCGCAGCCACUACUUCACGAGUUUGAUCCCCAGUCAGGGAGCUACCCACAUGGCGCAGCAGACCUCUCCUGUCUCACCCGCUGUUCCCCUCAGCAGAGUAUUUCAGUUGAUCUUCCUGUUCUGCUCCCCACCCUGUCUCUGGUGAGUCAUCUCACCCCACACACACCUCUGGCCUACACCCCGGUUCUUGUAUGCAUAAAUAAAUAAAUCUUUAAAAAAAGAA